UACGAAGGGUGCAAGCGUUAAUCGGAAUUACUGGGCGUAAAGCGUGCGUAGGCGGUUUGUUAAGUCUGUUGUGAAAUCCCCGGGCUCAACCUGGGAAUGGCAAUGGAUACUGGCAGGCUAGAGUGUGUCAGAGGAUGGUGGAAUUCCCGGUGUAGCGGUGAAAUGCGUAGAGAUCGGGAGGAACAUCAGUGGCGAAGGCGGCCAUCUGGGACAACACUGACGCUGAGAAGCGAAAGCAUGGGGAGCGAACAGG
rnacentral:rRNA from 1 species